rnacentral:rRNA from 1 species
UGUGGAUCGGAGUGAAAGGCUAAUCAAACUCGGUUAUAGCUGGUUCUCGCCGAAACAUAUUUAGGUAUGGCCUCUGAGAAUAUGCAGCGGAGGUAAAGCACUGGAUGGGCUAGGGGUCCUACCAGAUUACCAAACCCAACCAAACUCUGAAUGUCGCUGACAUGAAUCCAGGGAGACAGGCGUCGAGAGCUAAGUUCCGGCGCCAAGAGGGAAAGAGCCCAGACCGUCAGCUAAGGUCCCCAAAUCUGUACUAAGUGGGAAAGGAUGUGGGGGCACACAGACAGCCAGGAGGUUGGCUUAGAAGCAGCCAUCCUUUAAAGAAAGCGUAAUAGCUCACUGGUCAAGUGAACCUGCGCCGAAAAUGUAACGGGGCUAAAGUACAGUACCGAAGUUACGGAUUUAGUCAUGACUUCGGUCAUGAUCGAGUGGUAGGCGAGCAUUCCAUUUGCUGCGAAGGUCGACGGUAACGACGGCUGGAGCGUAUGGAAGAGCUUAUGCAGGCUUGAGUAGCGAUAAAACAGGUGAAAAACCUGUUCGCCGUAAGCCCAAGGGUUCCUGGGUCAAGUUCAUCUUCCCAGGGUUAGUCGGUCCCUAAGCCGAGGCAGAAAUGCGUAGGUGAUGGAUAGCGAGUUAAUAGUCUCGCACCGCGACGGAUGGUUUCUACAGGAAGGACGAAGAAAGGUAGCCGAGCCGGACACUGGAUGUUCCGGUUCAAGCCCGUAGGAAGAGUGACUAGGAGGCCUAGUGCCACAAACGGUCAUUCAAUUCCGAGAGGGGAUGAGGAGAGCGCUAUGCGCUCAUGAACUCGGUGAUCCUCAGCUUCCGAGAAAAGCUCCGGUAGAGUUAACCGCUGUCGCGACCGUACCGCAAACCGACACAGGUGGGCGGGGAGAAUAUCCCAAGGCGCAUGAGAGAACCCUGCUUAAGGAACUCGCAAAAUGACACCGUAACUUCGGGAGAAGGUGUGCCCUCAUUACGUGAAGCGCGAACGCGUGGAGCGGACGGGGGUUGCAGAGAAUCGGGGGUAGCGACUGUUUACCAAAAACACAGCACUCUGCGAAGUCGCAAGACGACGUAUAGGGUGUGAUGCCUGCCCGGUGCUGGAAGGUUAAAGAGAGGAGUCAACGCAAGUGAAGCUCCGAACUGAAGCCCCAGUAAACGGCGGCCGUAACUAUAACGGUCCUAAGGUAGCGAAAUUCCUUGUCGGGUAAGUUCCGACCUGCACGAAUGGCAUAACGACUUCCCCACUGUCUCGAGCAGGGACUCAGCGAAGUAGCACUAGGGGUGAAGAUACCCUUUACCCACGGCAGGACGGAAAGACCCCGUGAACCUUCACUACAGUUUGACAUUGGUUUUCGAAGUAAUUUGCGUAGGAUAGGUGGGAGGCUAUGAAACCCGGGUUCCGGCUCGGGUAGAGCCAACGUC